rnacentral:rRNA from 1 species
UUUACCGUGAAAAAAUUAGAGUGUUCAAAGCAGGCAGAUUCAAUUUUCUGCCACCGAAUACAUUAGCAUGGGAUAAUGGAAUAGGACCCUGUCCUCCUCUUUUCAGUUGGUUAAAUUUACGUGUGAGGAUCAGGGUAAUGAUUAAUAGGGAUAGUUGGGGGCAUUAAUAUUUAAUUGUCAGAGGUGAAAUUCUUGGAUUUAUGAAAGAUUAACUUCUGCGAAAGCAUCUGCCAAGGAUGUUUUCAUUAAUCAAGAACGAAAGUUAGGGGAUCGAAGACGAUCAGAUACCGUCGUAGUCUUAACCAUAAACGAUGCCGACCAGCGAUUAGGAGACGUUGAAUACAAAACACCACCAUGUAUAAUUCAGCACAUGACAUCCUCACGGGUGUUGUGUGUUGAUUGUAUAUGGCUAUCGGUGAAUGACUCCCUAGAGC